UUAAAGGAGACCUACCCGCUCAAAUAUUGAAAACAAUUUGUGAUUAAAUAUUGAGUUGGUCAUCCUAAAGGUCGGUCGCGUAUUUCUUGUCACUUACUUUCAAACUAUAUUUUGGUUCGUAAUUGGGCUAUUAGCUCAGGUGGUUAGAGCGCACCCCUGAUAAGGGUGAGGUCCCUGGUUCGAGUCCAGGAUGGCCCACCUCAAAAAGUUAUUUGAUAAAAGUCAAAAGUCACUCAUAAUUUGUUAUUUUCCUUUUUUGCCUUUUGCCUAUUAACUUUUGAUGUUGGGGUAAAGCCAAUGUCUGGAUGUUAGCGGUCAAAAGUCCGUUAAGCAACAGUAAUUAAAUAUGGAUUCUUCAGCAACUGAGCAACUUCAUUGCCAGCCUGCUGGAUAUAUAUCCAGUAAUUGAACCUUGAAAACUGCAUAGUGAAGCGAAUUUUAGCAGGCAGACACACAGACAGAAAUAGUCUUUAUGUUUGCAUAAAUUGUUAUUUU
rnacentral:tRNA from 1 species